AUUGAACGCUGGCGGCAUGCCUUACACAUGCAAGUCGAACGGCAGCACGGAGCUUGCUCUGGUGGCGAGUGGCGAACGGGUGAGUAAUAUAUCGGAACGUACCCUAGAGUGGGGGAUAACGUAGCGAAAGUUACGCUAAUACCGCAUACGAUCUAAGGAUGAAAGUGGGGGAUCGCAAGACCUCAUGCUCGUGGAGCGGCCGAUAUCUGAUUAGCUAGUUGGUAGGGUAAAAGCCUACCAAGGCAUCGAUCAGUAGCUGGUCUGAGAGGACGACCAGCCACACUGGAACUGAGACACGGUCCAGACUCCUACGGGAGGCAGCAGUGGGGAAUUUUGGACAAUGGGCGAAAGCCUGAUCCAGCAAUGCCGCGUGAGUGAAGAAGGCCUUCGGGUUGUAAAGCUCUUUUGUCAGGGAAGAAACGGUGAGAGCUAAUAUCUCUUGCUAAUGACGGUACCUGAAGAAUAAGCACCGGCUAACUACGUGCCAGCCGCCGCCGUAACAC
rnacentral:rRNA from 1 species